ensembl:lncRNA
GGCUAGACUUGAAUUUGCUAUAUAGCCUAGUCCGGCCUCAAACCUGUGAUCCUCUUGCUUCAGCCUUCCAAGUGCUGGAAUUAUAGGCAUGCGCCACCAUGUCUAGCAUCAUGAAAGAACAUUUUUGUAAGAAGAUAGAAUUUUCUAUGAUGUGGCCCUCUCUUGCCUUCCCCAAUCACUUUCCUCAGUACAUAAAAUUUGGAGGCUCUGUGGUCCUUUAUUCUGAACUUUUUGCUGUUAGGAUGCCUGAGUUUGAAUCCUGCUCCUCGCUUUCUAAUUAUGUGAUUUGUGGGUAGUUUGUAGGCUAUUCCCUAACAUUUAGGAUUCUCAUCUCCUUUAGGUACACAGCACAUUUCCAUGACUUUGUACUUCUUGAAGUAAUUUGUGGUUGCAUGACUUUAGGGAGGACUCAGGGCACAAAUAGCUGAUUCUCUCUUCUACAUGACAGCUAGCUUCAUUUCAGACAGUGGAUGUGACAUCACUUUGCAUUCCUGAGAACGCGGAGGAGCAGAGUCCCAGCAACAGCGUGAUGGGCAGGUGGCACAAAUGACAACUAAAACUCUCUUGUUUUAAUUCACUGAGAUUUGGGGGCUGUUUGCCAUUGUAAUCUCACCUGUCUUCACUAACAUAGUGACUUUGGACUGGUACUUAACCUUUAUUAGCUUUCUUAUCUAUAAAAGGGGAAAAAUAAUAGUACCUGAUAGGGUUUGAUAUGAGGACUAAGUGAGUUUAUCCAAUUAAAGCAAUUAGCACUUAGCAAAUCCUUAAUCAUUGUUGGCAGCUACUCUUACUAUUUUCAUUAUCAUCCAGAAUCAUGUUUACUCCCUUUUCACAAAGCCUUAUAAAAGCAAUUAUUUUGUACAUCUUUUUCAAAUGCAUCACAUCCUUUUCUACCUUAAGAGUCUAUAAAUUUGGGGUCAUUAAUAUGAAUGUUGGUUUAUAUACUAUGAUGUAGUAUAGUUAAGGAGACUUUGAGGUAGGUAGGGGAUCUACUGGAAUGUUUUAGGGAUUAUUUUUUCAUAUUUGCAUGGUAGUUUUUUCCUUUUGAUUUUUUUAAAGACAAGGUCUUGCUAUGUAGCUCAGGCUGGCCUCGAAUUUACCUGCAUCUGCCUCUUGAGUGCUGGGAUUACAGGUUUGCAUCACCAUUCCUGACUCAGGAAGUGCCUGAUUCCUGCCUUCUGCCAGGGCUGUUUGAGAGAGAAUACCUCAUUCCAUUCUAGAAGUUCAUUUUCUGCUUUAAUAUGUAUAACCAGAAGUUCUUAUCCAAAAUUAAUGCUGAGAAUGAUUAAUUUGGCAAAACCUCAUAGCUGGGAAUUGAACAAAGAACAAGGAAAAGUCCUGGCCAGAAGAAAUUCAAGAACUGAACUACAUAAUGAGACCUUGUCUCAAAAACAACAACUAUGACAGCAACAACAACAACAACAACAACAACAACAACACAGAAAUCCAAGAUUAGGAUGAAUGACAAACCAGGGAGCCAGUCAGUUUCCAGAAGACUACAUGGGAUAAGAAUCUCAACAAAAGGAGCUGCAGACAAGAAAUCCUCCU